rnacentral:SRP_RNA from 1 species
GGUUGGUUCUCCCGCAACGCUACUCUGUUUACCAGGUCAGGUCCGGAAGGAAGCAGCCAAGGCAGAUGACGCGUGUGCCGGGAUGUAGCUGGCAGGG